rnacentral:rRNA from 1 species
UGGACAGCCUUCUGAAAGGAAGAUUAAUACAAGAUGGCAUCAUGAGUUCACAUGUUCACAUGAUUAAAGGUAUUCCGGUAGACGAUGGGGAUGCGUUCCAUUAGAUAGUAGGCGGGGUAACGGCCCACCUAGUCUUCGAUGGAUAGGGGUUCUGAGAGGAAGGUCCCCCACAUUGGAACUGAGACACGGUCCAAACUCCUACGGGAGGCAGCAGUGAGGAAUAUUGGUCAAUGGGCGAGAGCCUGAACCAGCCAAGUAGCGUGAAGGAUGACUGCCCUAUGGGUUGUAAACUUCUUUUAUAAAGGAAUAAAGUCGGGUAUGCAUACCCGUUUGCAUGUACUUUAUGAAUAAGGAUCGGCUAACUCCGUGCCAGCAGCCGCGGUAAUACGGAGGAUCCGAGCGUUAUCCGGAUUUAUUGGGUUUAAAGGGAGCGUAGAUGGAUGUUUAAGUCAGUUGUGAAAGUUUGCGGCUCAACCGUAAAAUUGCAGUUGAUACUGGAUAUCUUGAGUGCAGUUGAGGCAGGCGGAAUUCGUGGUGUAGCGGUGAAAUGCUUAGAUAUCACGAGGAACUCCGAUUGCGAAGGCAGCCUGCUAAGCUGCAACUGACAUUGAGGCUCGAAAGUGUGGGUAUCAAACAGGAUUAGAUACCCUGGUAGUCCACACGGUAAACGAUGAAUACUCGCUGUUUGCGAUAUACUGCAAGCGGCCAAGCGAAAGCGUUAAGUAUUCCACCUGGGGAGUAC